rnacentral:rRNA from 1 species
UACGAAGGGGGCUAGCGUUGUUCGGAAUCACUGGGCGUAAAGGGUGCGUAGGCGGCGCGGAAAGUCAGGGGUGAAAUCCCGGAGCUCAACUCCGGAACUGCCUUUGAUACUCCCGUGCUAGAGAGCUGGAGGGGACAUCGGAAUUCACGGUGGAGCAGUGAAAUGCGUGGAUAUCGUGAGGAACACUAGUGGCGAAGGCGGAUGUCUGGACAGUAUCUGACGCUGAGGCACGAAGGCCAGGGGAGCGAACGGG